rnacentral:tRNA from 1 species
CGGGGUGUAGCUCAGCCUGGUAGAGCACUGCCUUCGGGAGGCAGGUGUCGCACGUUCAAAUCGUGUCACCCCGACCA